rnacentral:rRNA from 1 species
CCGCUGCAGGAUUGGCUCGCGGCCUAUCAGCUUGUUGGUGAGGUAACGGCUCACCAAGGCAACGACGGGUACCUGGUCUGAGAGGAUGAUCAGGCACACUGGAACUGAGACACGGUCCAG